CUAGAGACAUGGGCUGACAACUAGAAACAGCUACAUGUCUCAACAACCUGUUCCUCUAUUUGUCCUUUGAACUCAUCCAAGGAAAGACAUUCCAAGAUCAAGGGGCUGAAUGGGCUUUUUUCCAUGUUUGGUUCUAAUUCUCGGUACUGUUAUCAUAAAACAAGAUUGAGAUCUGAGUUUGUAUGUGUUCUCAUUUCAUGCUAGAAGAGAGAAUAUAUGAAAUGGCAGUUUUCCUUAAAUGGUCUUCUGAAUAAGAAUGUACCAGUGUUUGAGCCUGGGUGUUGCUACUGAUGUCCACCUGACAGCACUGUAGAGAUCACAAUGGUGAGUUAGACGUCUCUGCAUGACACACAGAUUCAAGAGCCUUCAGUGUAGAGCUUGAGUCUUGCACAUAAAUAGUAUCAUCAUUGUCCAACACAGAAAGAAAAGUACAACGAUUCAACUCCUUUCUGUCAGGAAAUGAAAAACAAGCCGGUAAUAAAACCAAAUAUAAUGUUAUUGGUUUCAUCGUACUUUGGGACAAUGCUAUUAAUUCAAUUGUACUUUUGGGACUAUGCUAUUUCUUCCAUUGUAUGUAUUUGGACUGCACCUGCGGUUUGUCCUCCUGUCCAGGGGCUGGAGCUGGAGAGCACCAGGCUGGUAAUCAGGUACACAGACCGCUGGGUCCAGAGAACCCCUCCCUCUCCUCAGAGGACCAACUCUAUAGGCCUCAACACCUCCUCAGCCUCCCAGUACACCUCCACAGGGACCAGGAGGAUGGCUCCCAUCAAUGGUGACGAGUGUUUCUUCUGGAGGACAACCGGCUGUUUCUAUGGUGACAAGUGUUGCUUCAAAGACAAGCCUGACCAGAGAGGAAGAGACAGGAAACCAUGGCAACCCUGAACACCUUGACCACCCUGACCACCACGCAUCGACUGGAUAGUAGAGAGGGAGGAGAAUGAUGAAGAUUAAGGAAGAGGAUGAGGGACUGUGUCCCUACUUUAAAAGGGAACAGGAGGCUUGGGGGUGGGGGGUUACCCCAUUUGUCGUCCUCUGGCACAGACCACAGAUCCCAGACAGAACACUGGACAUAUAUAAUGAGUGUGUGAAGUGUCAAUCAAAGUGAAGAGGAGUGAAGAGAUCAGUGAGCUGAACACAUCUCUUUCACACAAGCACACACUGGAAAUUCAGAGCAGAUUUCCUUGGCCUUGUCAUAAUGCCAGCUCACUGUUGUCUGUUGUUUCUAGCUAGCUAAUGUUGAUAGCUAGAUGACAGGUAACUAGCUAGCUCACUAGCUAACUAUGGGGUCUUGCUGUAAUUCAGCGGCAGCACAUCAUAUUGUUCACAAUCCAGUACAUUCAGAGUAGCUGUGUGAUGCACAAAAAUGCUUGUUUAUCACUGAAUAACAGCAGCACCAUGGAGCUAACAAGCUAGCUGAGAUCACUAGUUCACUCAAUUAAAACACCAGUUCAACAUAAGUCCCAAUUACACAGUACUUUUACGUACGUGACUGUUUUAUUAUAUAUAUUUUUUUGACAUUUUCUACCUUCUAUUUUGUAUAUUUUCAUCACACUAGUAGGGACAUAUGAGGCCUGGAAGCUGCAGUAAUGUUGAGAUGUCAGUAGGGAGAGCUCUAGUCUAGAACACUGGAACCAAAGAUACUCCCCUUUCAUCUGUUCUGGAACCUUCAAUACCAGCUGAUGAGGAGUGAUGGGAAUGGGUCACAUUUUGUCUCUUGUAAAACAUGUAGGUCCACUCCUCAAAUAAAGAAAUGCAACUACA